rnacentral:ncRNA from 2 species
ACCUUAUCCAGAGUGGUGGAGGGAUCGGCCCUUCGAAGCCACAGCAACCGGUUCCAAUAGGAACGCUGGUGCUAAUUCCUACCCCCCCUUAACCGGGGGGAAAGAUAAGGU